GACGAACGCUGGCGGCGUGCUUAACACAUGCAAGUGGAGCGACGGACCAGGCUUCGGCCUGGGGCAGAGCCGCGAACGGGUGAGUAACACGUGGGUAACCUGCCUCGAUGACCGGGACAACCCGAGGAAACCCGGGCUAAUACCGGAUGUGCUCCUUCACAUCAGUGAAGACAGGAAAGGAAGCUUCGGCCUCCGCAUCGAGAUGGGCCCGCGGCCCAUUAGCUUGUUGGUGAGGAACGGCUCACCAAGGCUGCGAUGGGUAGCUGGUCUGAGAGGACGAUCAGCCACACUGGGACUGAGACACGGCCCAGACUCCUACGGGAGGCAGCAGUGGGGAAUCUUGCGCAAUGCGCGAAAGCGUGACGCAGCAACGCCGCGUGGGGGAAGACGGCUUUCGGGUU
rnacentral:rRNA from 1 species